rnacentral:lncRNA from 1 species
GCCCUUCUAGCCCCUGAAUUCAUACCAGAAUCCAGGAUCUUAUUUGGAGAUGAGGUAACAGAAGAAGAGUCAUCCUGAGCGAGCUCACUGCUGACACGCCAAUGGUUGAAACCCAUGGCCCUUUGAAAUGUGCUGCUCACUCCUGUGUGCUGCUGGGUGUUUCCUGAAAGCUACGUUCCAACUGUGCUCUGAGAUCCCGCAACUUUCUGAGGGUGCUGAGUAUGGAUGGAGUGUGGGGCCCUGACAACUAGAGAACUUGCUCAAACCUGGCCGUUUCCUCAGUUGUGGUGGUUUUAAAACAUGUCUGCAAACCCUCAGACCUUCCUCUCAUUAAGAGGUAUGUGAGUGAGCAAACCAUGAGAGGAGUCCAGCCCUGGCCUUCCAGCCGUCCCAGCUGAGCGGAGAGACAGACAUGCUGUUCCUGCAGCAUCCUGGCCAAACUGCCAAUUCGAUUUCAAGGCAGUCUUCUCCCAAAAGAGAAUUCUGAGGCUGGCCCACUACAAUGUAUUUCUGCAGACAGAAGAUGAGAACAAGGCCAAAUGAUCAGUUGUGGCAUCUUUCAGUCAUAAGUUCAAUGAUUCUGGGCACAGUAAGAAUGCCAAUCUUUCUUUCUACUUUAAUUCACAUUCAAUUAGAUGGAACAAUAAUCUCUGCAAGCCUCUUUCACAGGUGAUGUUCAUUUCUCUCCAGAGGCAAGGAGCCCUCUAAGGGAAGGAAGUCAUUCAUCGAAAUUAGAGCCACAGGCGGCUGAGGACAGGGCCAGGGACCAGCAGAGAUUCUGGACAAGGUGACUGUCUGGUUGGCACCUGGGCUCUUCCCCUGCUGAAUCUUUCUCUUGCAACUUUGUGUGUAUACGCCCGGUCACCAUGCACUCAGGAUCCUGAGGGUGUGAGAUCUGCAUGGUAUUUGCUUUUCAUGGUGCCCACCCAAGCAAUGAUUGGCACUAGAUACACAGUGGGUCACAUGCUUGUAGAAUUAGCUUGUAGAAUUACCAUAUCCACUCCCAGAACCCAGAACAUAUCCACUCCCCAAAUUAGCAUAUGCUUGUAGAAUUAGCAUAUCCACUCCCAGAACUCACACUUCUCAUAAUCGUUCAUUCAACAAACCAUAUUAAAUUACUUCUCUGUGCUAAGCAACAGGGACAAAAGCAAAAUAAGUCCCAACCCCUGUCCACAAGAGUCUAAGAAUCUAGUAGAGGAUGGAAAGAAAGAGGCAAUUAUUCAAAGGUAAGAUAAGUACUGGGUCAUGGAUCCACUCAUCAAGUGGCUAUUGAGCAUUUUCUAUGUAUUAGGCUUUGUCAGUUACCUGGGAUUCGGGGGAAAUAAGGCACAUCUCUGUUAAAAAAAAAAAAAAAAAAACUAUGAGUUUGAUUGUGUGAUGGGUGUCUAGAGGACAGGAAAAGUGGACAGGAGAAAAUUCCCCAGCACCUAACACAGUGCCAAGCACAAAGAGUCACUCAGCAAAUAUUUAUUGAAUGAGAGUUGACUAAAACAAAUAAUUACAGAACAUGAUACAGACUAUGACAGAAGCAAAAGUGGGCUGUGGCUAUUUGAAAAUCAGAGCAUCUUUUAAAAGGGAGACGGCAUCUGAACCUUGCCGAGUAGGAAUGUUCCAGAAGUAAGAGAGAUGACUAGGGUUUCAAGAACAAGGACCAGCACCUAUGAAGGCUCUGAGGCACAGACCACUGUGACCUGUGGAGAAGUGGUGAGUGGAGAAGGAGCAUGGGUUUGGUGGGGAUGGUAGGGAAUGGCCAGUAAUGGGGUAGGAACAAUAAGUCUAAGGCUACAUCCCUGAGGGAUUUAUGACAUAUGAACACUGGAGAAGCAAGUGGACAGCUGCUGCUCCUCUGUAUCUGCACUUUCACAGCAGAAAGUAGAAGGCACCUCUCACCUACCUGAUAACGGAGGAGGUGAGAAUGUAGGCUUUAGAAUCAAGUGGACCCUGGGUUCAAAUCCCAGCACUGCUACCUUUGAACAAUGAGCUGUUGGGCAAGUAACUGAGCCUCUCUGCACCUCAAUAGUUUCGUCUCCUAAACAAGUACCAUGAUAUCCACCCAGGGGAGUGUUGGAAAGGAAUAAAUAAGGUAAGGUAUGUAAAAUCUUGAUUAGAGUACCUGGCCUACAGUGACUAUUUUGAAAGCAUUGUUUUGUUAUUGUUAUUACUGUAAUAAUUAUUAUUCCUGUCAUUCUAUUUGGAAUAAUGUUACUUCUCAUCUAUCCUUUACUGCCUAUAAAAAAAAGUUAAAUUUGAGGCCAAUCUUUUCCAUAUUGGUUAUCUCCACAGAGCAAAUGAAUUUAGAGCCAUUACUUGAUGGUGAGUGGGGAUUACUCAGGUUGGAAGGAACCUCCAAGUGCACAUGGCCCGACAAACCUCCUCAAUUUACCACUGAGGAGCCUGAGGCCCAGGCUCCCACAGUUUCCCAGAACUGCCCCCUUGGUCAGAGUCACGGUUCUCCUCUGGAAGAGAAGCUCAAGGGCAGACCCUCGGCAGGAAGCAGACCAGCAUUUUCUGGAACUUCCCCGGUCGCUCUUCAGACCCCUCACUGAGGGAUUUAAUGGGAGGACUCACACGGCCUGAACAAGCCAAGUGAAGCACUUGUCUGCUAUUCUGUUCCCUUUGUGAGACUCAGAGUACCUGCCAUACCCAUAGUCAAAUUUAAAUAAAUAUUUAACAAAAGGGGUUAUUUUCUACACCAUGAGAAAAAGAGGUGAUUUUCUACACCAGAAGUUAUUAUUCUCUACUCACAGCUGGCCAGACCGUGGGUGAGGUUCCUAACCCAUAGGUAGCCAAGAUGUUGGCCCAUGUGGGAACCGUGGUCCAGCCAGUAGGACUCUCCUGUGCUGGAUGGUACUGACCCAUUGAGCCAAUCAGAUUCUCUCUCGUGCCUUACUGUGUUCUCCAAAUACAUAUUGAGAACUUCCAUGUGCCAAGCUCUAUGCUAGGUUCCAGUGAUACAAACAUAGAAGGGGCUCUGUAACCCCAGACCUCUGUGCUCUUAGAAGGAGUUCAGUAUAGGAAUCCAUUCCUUAUUAGCAACUUAAACUAACUGUUGGGAUUUUGUUGCAACAUAUACACAACUCUCAUUUAUAAUGUAACAGUUACUUUAAAUAAACUGAUGAAUUUAUCAGGACCCUCGAAUUCAAGGAACAGAAACCUAACCCAAUCUGGCAUAAAGAAAAAUUAGAAUUUACUGGCUCAUAUCCACAAAGGCUAGGACUAGAGCUGUCCUCAGGAAUUCAAAUAAUGAUAUCGUCUCUCCCUCUCUCCUUCCUCUCCCACCCCAUCUCAUUCCAUAUCUCAGAUCUCUGCUUCUCUCCAUCUGUUGGACUCAUUCUUUCCUCACAUAGCAGAGCUUUAUUCACACUGCAGGAGACGUGGCAUGGGCAGCUCCAGGCUUCAUCAACCUAGAUUUGCAACUCCCAAGGAAACAAAGAUUUCUCUCUCCUAGCACUCAGAGGUAAAAUUCAAGGGAAGAACACCAAUAAACCAAACUUAGGUCAUGUGGCCAUCAUGAAGCCAAUCACUGUCGCAAGAUGCGUGAGAUCCCAUGAUUGGUCAAACCUUGGUCACAUGACACAGCUCACCCACCAGAACCACAUGGUGCAAACGAACAGUUCCCCACAGCAAGGAGGGUGCCUUUCCAUAGAAAGGGAGUAGAUGCUGAAUAGGAUGGAGAGGAGGAGGCAGAGAGAGACGUCUGUUACACCAGAAGGAAUAAAAGGAAAAACUUGUUUUCCAAAAGAAAAGGUAGAAAAGGACUUUACCAAAGAGUAGUUUUAGGAUUGUUGCUAAUGGCCAGCUUUAUUAGAAUACAGAAGACAUUGAUAUACUUUAAACAAUUUAAUGAGUGGCAAUUCUCAUAAGAUAUACAGAAGGAGUGAGUCAGCACAGAACUAAUACAGUGACAGAGGACAAACCAAGUAUCUUUGAGGGAGGAAGAGAACUCACAUGCAUUGAACAUUUACUGGGUGCAGUACCUUGUUAUGAAACUCUGUUGCUAUCCUAUGAGACAGACACUAUUGUUUCCCUCCAUUUACAGGAGCAGGAACUCAUGCUCAGAGAAGUGUUCAAAAAAAAAACAAAAAAACAAAACAAAAAGGCCUCACUGAUAAUCCUAUGACUAGUAAGUGUGGGGCUGGGAUGUGAUUCCAAGUUCGCCUGAUUCCAAAGCUCAUGCUCUUUCUACAAGUUCGGUCUGCGUUCCAAAGGCAAAAUUGCAGCCCUGCUGAAAGGUGGAGGGGUGAACAAUGAGUCCCUCCUCUAUUUAUAGACAGAGAACAAAACCAGACAGCCCAAAAGGGCAGAAGUGCCAAGAAGGAAAAUAGUUUUUCUGGGUCCUUUAUGAGGACAUUUUUACUCCCAAAAUGGAGAUGGUGCCGGAAAGUAAGAUUGCCCAUCACGAACUGCUGCAGCAGCCAGGACAAUGCAGCCAAGAAAGGACAAUGGGUUCAGCACCCAGGGGUCAUUAGUGGCCCUCAAGAGGCUGCUUCAACAGAGGAGUGUGUCCAGACCUGAUAUUUAAAGCAGUUUACAGCAAGCAACUGGUUGAGAAAUCGAGGCUUCUAAAGUAGACCUACUCAUUCAAGAAUAGCAGUAAAUAUAAUGAUAUCUGCAUGUUUUAAAAUUACAGGGAAGCAAUGAAUCAAGAGGAAAGGUUAAAAAAUCAGACUUUAAUAAAAAUGAGUGCUUAUCUUAUUUUGCAGAUAGAAAAGUGCAAGAAAGACAUGCUAUUAGAGACAGAAAUAAAAAUCCAAAUUAACUGGACCAGCUGAGACUCUGGACUGGGAAAACAUGAGUCUGAACCACUACAGGGUUCUCGGGGAGUUGUAUCUUUCCUGACACACUGUUUGUUCACCCUUUUCUUUGGGCAACAGAUGCCAUUCCUGACCACAUGGGUUGUCCUGUAAAUGGUCUGGCCACUUGUGAUACUUCAUGCCACUGGAAACAGUAGUCAGUUGACCUAAUGUGACUCAAACUAAGCCAGCCAGUCUGUCUCUCUGAGAUUGGUGUAUGGGCAUUGGAAGAGCAGUCUUCUCUCUCCAUUAGAUUGUGAAGCUGGGGUCACGCAAGAGAAAGGCUUAAGCAGCCCCCCACGCAUGAGCAACACAGAUUAGCAAUGACCUGGGCAAAGGGGAUUUCUCUCUCUCAGCACCCAUACGUAAAAUCCGAAGAAAGGAUCUCUGGACAUGUGAAGGAAGCCCAUUCAUAAGUAGGAAAAAAUGAGGCCAGUCCAAAGAAAGAUGGAGAGAGAGAGAAAAACAAACAACAACCUUCAAAACUCUGAAUCUAGCCAAAUCUGCUCCCCAUCCUGGACUUUCUCCUUUAUUGGGCCAUAAUCAAAGAGUCCAGUUGUUUUCAUUUCUAGCUGCCACAGAUAAGUGAGAACAUGUGCUUUUUGUCUUUCUGUAUCUGGCUUGUUUCACUUAACAUAAUGACCUACAGUUCCAUCCCUGUCGUUGGAAAUGAUGGGAUCUCAUUCUUUUUUAUGGGUGUAUAGUACUCUUUUUUAUAUUUAAGGAAGUUUGAAGUGAGUUUCUCUAGCUGGCAGCCAAAAUAGAGUUCACUAACAUAACUCCCAUUGAAGCCUCAAUCAAACCUCAAUAGGUUGCCCUGUGAAUGGAAAUUAAAAUUUUGACCUGCUGGAGCCGCUGAGAAUGAAUAUAAUUUUUUUAAAAAGGCAUGGAGCUCUGUCCUCAAGAAACUCAUAGUCAUGGGAAGUUUUUUGCUUUCCUGCUACAAAUAGGAAAUCCUUCAGAAAGGUUGAUGAUGUCAGUGUAGGUAUGUGUGGUGGGAGAGGGAAUGGCAGGGGAGGCACAAUCCUCUUCCAAAAGAUAAAUAAUAAUGACCAAGCUAAUUAUCACACUUGACAGAUACACACAGGAGCCAAAGGGUGGUGCGCAGAGCUUUGUAUGUUUCUCAUUGAGACACAUCAGCCCACCUCGAGCCUCUCAUUGGGCUUCCAGACAUCUUUUCUCUCUUGCCUAGCUUUUCCUUCCUUUCUUGGGAUUCCCUUGUCCAGUUGGCCCUUUGGGCUCCCCUGCCCUCCCUCCAGGGCUCCCAGAAAAGCAGCUCCAUUCACUCCCAUUGGGAGCUGAAGAGAGUUGAGUCAGAUUCCUUCAUGGAAGGGGGCUUUGGGCUCUUUGGUAAAACAUCAAAAGCUCAGCAAAUUUUGCUCUAACAAUGCCAUCUCUCCUCUCACAGCACCUCUUCCAUUAACUACUGCAUUUGGAAAUGUUUGUCUCUUUUCUCUGUCUUACCAGAAGCAUUUUCCCCAAAAGAAGGGUGGGAAGAAAAGACAAUUAGAGAGGGACCAGUGCUCAGGAACAGUCUUAGAACUCUCCCACAGGGCAGGCCACUGGGUGGCACAAGCUGAAGGAUUCUGGGCAGUCCCCCUUCCCUCCCUCCACAAAAGCAAUAUGCUGUCUUAUGCUUGGAACAUCACUUACAAACUGUAAAGCCAUGCUAUGCAGCUAUUAGAUAUCAUUUUUUAAAACCCUACUCCAAAAAACUCUUUCCAUACAUAGUAGACCUGCAAUAAGGAGGGUUUUUAAAUGGAGGGAUUCCAUUGGUUUAUAGAAUUAUUUUCAAAUUCAGAGACCCUUGCACUGUCUUCCCCAUGCUGCUGGUGAAGAAGUGAAUCAUUACAACCUUCCUGGUAGGUUAUUUGGCAGUGUGCCUCAAAAGCCUUAAAAAUGUUCAUUUUUUUUUGAACCCCACAAUUUUAAUUCCAGAGCAUGAAUGGGCUCCACCAUUUACCAGCCAUGUGAUUUAGGCUCUCUGAACCUCAGUUUCCUCAUCUCUAAAAUGGGGAUAAUAUCAUAGGCUGGUUGUGAGGAUUAAAUGAAAUAUAUGGAAUGCCUUAGAAUGAUGUCCAGCAUACGAUUACAUGCUAUGUGUGAGCUAAGUAAGUGAUCAGAGAGAGAAGUAGAAAUACAUCUCAGUAUUAUUUUAAUUGACAACAUUUAGAAACAUGUCUAAUAAUGGAUUGUUAGCUAAACUAAUUAUGUGGAUCCAUAAGAUGGAACAUUACAUGCCCGUUUUAAAAAUCAUGUUUUCAAAGAAUAUUUGAUGAUAUGGGAAGAUGUUCAUAAUAUAUCACUGGGCAAAAAAAUUCGCGUUUUGAAUAACAUACACAGUAUAAUCUGAAUAUCAAUAUAAAAGGUAAAGAGAAUACUUCAAAGUAUUAUUGGCAGGUAUCUCUAAGUAAAGAACCUUUUCUGCAAUGGAAUCACCUGGGGAACUUAAUAAAACAAUCCUGCUCUAGGAUACCAUCCCUAGAAAUUCUGAUCAAAUUGGCCUGGGCUGUGACCUGGGCCUCAGGAUUCGUAUUUUCUUCCACAUGCUUGGAUACUUUCCCUAGAUUUUUUCCCCAAAGUUUUCUAAAAUAAAUAUGUAUCACUUUUAUAAUUAGAAAUUAAAACCAUAAAUGCUGUUUAAAAGACAUUUCAAUUACCCCCACGAGAGUGGCUGACUAAGCAAUGAUUUUAGUGACUGGCUUACCAGAUAGUUUUCUCCCAGGGAAAGCUGGAGUUUGGCAGAGGAGGGAGAAGCAAUUCAGAGUAUGAGUCACUGCCCUGGGGAACAGACCUAGGAGGGGCACUAGAUGGGGAAGGAGGUGUGGGGCUCAAGGUGAGGACACUGGCCACUUGAGGGGCCAGGGCAGGGACUGAAGAGGUCCUACUGACCAGCUUUACAGGCUGAGCCUGUUGCACAGGCCACUCGGUUAUUUAUGGCCCUUCCUGUCUGAGGCCUUGCUAGGAGCCCCUUGUGAUACUGGGGUUUCAUUUGUGUGUGUCAGCAUUAUGCUUUCUCUU